rnacentral:rRNA from 1 species
UGGGGAAUAUUGCACAAUGGGCGCAAGCCUGAUGCAGCCAUGCCGCGUGUGUGAAGAAGGCCUUCGGGUCGUAAAGCACUUUCAGCGAGGAGGAAGGGUAGUGUGUUAAUAGCACAUUGCAUUGACGUUACUCGCAGAAGAAGCACCGGCUAACUCCGUGCCAGCAGCCGCGGUAAUACGGAGGGUGCAAGCGUUAAUCGGAAUUACUGGGCGUAAAGCGCACGCAGGCGGUUUGUUAAGUCAGAUGUGAAAUCCCGCGCUUAACGUGGAACUGCAUU